rnacentral:rRNA from 1 species
GUCCUAGAUAGGGGUAAAAACUCUAUUCUAUGCUGUUCAACCCUUUGUCUUUUGCGUACUGUAUGUUUCCUCGGCGGGUUCGCCCGCCGAUAGGACACUUCAAAACCUUUUGUAAUUGCAAUCAGCGUCAGAAAAACUAUAAUAGUUACAACUUUCAACAACGGAUCUCUUGGUUCUGGCAUCGAUGAAGAACGCAGCGAAAUGCGAAAAGUAGUGUGAAUUGCAGAAUUCAGUGAAUCAUCGAAUCUUUGAACGCACAUUGCGCCCCUUGGUAUUCCAUGGGGCAUGCCUGUUCGAGCGUCAUUUGUACCCUCAAGCUCUGCUUGGUGUUGGGUGUUUGUCCCGCCUUCGCGCGUGGACUCGCCUUAAAGUGAUUGGCAGCCGGAAUAAUUCUGGGGAACGCAGCACAACUGCAGCCUCCAUUUUACGCCGAGCGUCCAGUAAGCCUAUUUUUCACGUUUGACCUCGGAUCAGGUAGGGAUACCCGCUGAACUUAAGCAUAUCAAUAAGCGGAGGGAUCAUUAUCAAUUUUCGUCUGAAUAGGGGUAAAAACUCUAUUCUAUGCGUUCACUUUGUCUUUGGUACUGUAUGUUUCUCGGCGGUUCUCGCGAUAGGAACUUCAAACUUUUGUAAUUGCAUCGGUCGAAAACUAUAAUGUUUCACUUUACACGGAUCUCUUGGUUCGGCAUCAUAAAAGACAAAUGCAAAGUAUGUGAAUUGCAAAUCGAAAUUCAAUCUUUAGCUGGUCUUGGUAUUCAGGGGCAUGCGUUGCAGGUAUUGUACUCAGCUCUGCUUGUGUUGGGUGUUUGUUGCUUCGCGCUGCCAUCUCUUACAAGUGAAUUGGCGCCGAAUAUUCUGGGGAAGCAGACACGUGCAGUCUCUUUUAUCGAGCGUCAGUAGCUAAUUUUCCGUUGAACUCGGAAUCAGGAGGGAUACGCUGAACUUAGCUUAUCAUAACGGAGGAAGAA